rnacentral:misc_RNA from 1 species
AACAAGGCGUACCUGCGGACCUGCGGAGGAUCAUUACUGAGUCACGUGCUCAAACAACCCUUCUGUGGACCUGAAAUAAAACCGUUGCCUCGGCGGGCGGUCCCCCCCAAACCAACCCCACGUGGUGGGUUAGGGGAGACCAGACAGUCCGGUACGCUUAAGGCGUCCGGCGCCAGCCGCUGGCCCCAAACAAUUAAACUCUAGUAAUCUUUACCUUCUGAGUUUCAAUAUUUAAAAAUA